GAUGAACGCUGGCGGCGUGCCUAAUACAUGCAAGUCGAGCGCACAGACGAGGUGCUUGCUCCUCUGACGUUAGCGGCGGACGGGUGAGUAACACGUGGAUAACCUACCUAUAAGCCUGGGAUAACUUCGGGAAACCGGAGCUAAUACCGCAUAAUAUAUUUAACCACAUGGUUCAAUAGUGAAAGACGGAUUUGCAUCCCUCAAUAGAUAGAUCCGCGUCGCAUUAGCUAGUUGGUAAGGUAACGGCUUACCAAGGCAACGAUGCGUAGCCGACCUGAGAGGGUGAUCGGCCACACUGGAACUGAGACACGGUCCAGACUCCUACGGGAGGCAGCAGUAGGGAAUCUUCCGCAAAGGGCGAAAGCCUGACGGAGCAACGCCGCGUGAGUGAUGAAGGUCUUCGGAUCGUAAAACUCUGUUAUUAGGGUAGAACAAAUGUGUAAGUAACUAUGCACGUCUUGACGGUACCUAAUCAGAAAGCCACGGCUAACUACGUG
rnacentral:rRNA from 1 species